CUUUGUACUCCAGGAGACUUUGCACAACUUUACUCUUGUCCUAACGCUUGUUUCAUUAACUUAAGUUUAUAAUGCUAUGGGCAUGUAUAAACUUGCUUUAAUGCACCAAUUCGUUAAGCAAAUAUUCUAGGACAAUUAAGAAAACAACUAUGAUACACACAAUGUUGUGGGAGAAGGGUUGUCGAGGAGAAAUGCUCCGAUUAUACUUUAAACUGUGGCCAAAGUGUCGCCCCACAGACUCACUAUUGCAGCAAUAUGAUUAUGAUAUAAUUAUAUGUCCUCAGGGGGUUGUGGUUCCCCCAUGUUGGACUUUACCCAAGGGGUAGUAGAUCCCCGAGAUGGGCAUCUUAAAUGUCCAAGGGGUAGUAGAUCCCCGUGAUGGUCAUUGUUUACUUUAAUGUCCAAGGGGUAGUAGAUCCCCGUGAUGGUCAUUGUUUACUUUAAUGUCCAAGGGGUAGUAGAUCCCCGUGAUGGUCAUUGUUUACUUUACAAUACACUGUUUAAUACAUUGAUUUGUGUGAGUCUAUGGGGUUGAGGGUGACCUUUGGGAGCACUCCAUCCCCACAAAUACACAGCAUGUGUAUUCCCCAUAGACGAAAAAACCCAACUCCCACCACAACUGUAAUCGUAUAGAAGAUAGAUGAUCUUUGUGCUUUUCGAAGACAUAUCGUCUAUAUUUCUCUUUCGACACACUUUAAAUAAUUAAUUGAUUAAAAUCAUGUUAUAUGCAAA